rnacentral:misc_RNA from 1 species
AUUAAAAAACCAGUAGUACCAGCAUUGAAAAUGAAAGCAAACAAAUUAACCUUACGAUUGACUCAGAUAAAUUCUACAUUCAAACUAAUCUUAACAGUCUAGUUGGCUUAUGUUUUCAUAUUGUGUUUCAUUGUACUGAAUUUUUAAAAUGGCAUUUGCAAAAUUAUUUUCGAGUGGUUAUGUUUUUUAUUUGGAGAGAAAUUUUAGCAAGAUAUUAACUAGGAGUUGCAGUGGGAAGACAAAUGUACCAGUAUGUGACAAAAAUGAAGAAGGUAAAGACAAUACAGUAUCGGGAGAGUCACCUUCAGGAAUUGGAAAAAAGAAUGGUUUAGUGCUGGGUGUUUAUGAAGAUGGUGACCAGUUCCAGUUGACCCCCGCAGCAGAAGAGGUCAACCAGAAGAGUGGGGGCAAGCUAUGCAAGUAUCUCAAUGAGCUCUCAUGCGAGAUGAAGCUCGGUAAAGCUUUCGUCGUGACAGACGUCGCGCCAGACGUGAGUUGCGUGGCGCUCGCUUGUCUCGGCAAGAAAGCGCCUGGCUAUAAUCACUUGGAGGAUAUCGAUGAAACUAACGAGAACGUGCGCGUGGGCGUGGGCGCGGGCGUGCGCGCGCUGGCGGCGCGAGGCGCGCGUGACGUCACCGUGGACGCGGCCGGCCAGCCGCGCGCCGCCGCCGAGGCCGCGCACCUGGCCGCUUGGAAUUUCCAAGAAUUCAAAUCGCUGGAGACACGUAAACCCGAAGUUAAACUCUCACAAUACGGCUCAGAGCCCAGUGACGAAUGGACCCUAGGGUCAAUCCUGGGUCGGUCCCAGAACUGGGCCAGGUUCCUCUCCGAUAUGCCCGCAAAUAGCAUGACUCCUAUAGGACUUGCGCAAGAAGCAUUAGACGUCCUCUGCCCUCUCGGAGUGCAAGUAACUGUGAGGGAACGGGACUGGAUAGAGGCACAAAAGAUGGAGGCAUUUCUCGCCGUGGCCAAAGGCUCUUGCGAGCAAGCUGUGUUGUUGCAAUGCGACUACCGCGCGGGGGGGGACACUCCGCCGGUGCUGUUGGCCGCUAAGGGCGUCACUUUUGACAGUGGUGGCUUAUGUCUGAAGAAAGCUCACGAAAUGAAGGAAAAUCGCGGUAGUAUGGCCGGCGCCGCCGUCGUGCUGGCGGCAAUCCGGGCCAUAGCACUCGCUAAGGUGCCUAUAAACGUGAGCGCGGUGAUACCGCUCUGUGAGAACAUGGUCAGUGGCCAGUGCAUGAAAGUGGGCGAUGUGGUCACUGCUCUCAAUGGACUCUCCUUGCAGACGGGGUGCUCCUCGCCACGGGGGGCGGCGCCUUCGGCUGCUUCUCGAACAGCGAGCCGCUGUGGCGCGCGCUGCGCCGCGCCGGCGCGCGCACGGGCGACCGCGCCUGGCGCCUGCCGCUGUGGGACUACUACCAGCGCCAGAUACAGAACGAUCCAGCAGUGGAUUUACGCAACAGAGGAUCAGGAACUGCCACUCCAUGUAUAGGUGCUGCAUUUCUGAAGAACUUCGUUUGUUGCGACUGGUUGCACAUGGAUAUAACUGGAGUGGGCAAGUUAUCGCAUGCCCCGGCGCCCCCUUACUUACACCCCUACCGUAUGACAGGUCGACCAACGCGCACGCUGGCCACAUUUCUGAUGAAUGCAG